rnacentral:lncRNA from 1 species
CCUGCAGUUACUCUAAACUUCACAUAAACGGAAAAAAAAAAAAAAAAGUAAAGCUAAUCAGCCUGCAGUUGCUUUGCUUGUAAAAAGGCAUCAAUGAUGGUUGUAGGGGUUGUAACACCCAUCAUAACCCUAAUAAGCCGAUUCAAUCCUGCAAUAAAACGGGACACAUAGUACUCUUCCUGUAUAUCGGGAUAAGCAGAAACCACAGCGGCCAUAGCCUCCUCAAACUCUUCUAGGUAUUGUUCAACAGUCAUAUCUCCGGUCUGUUUAACACUGGCAAAUUUGUCCAUUACGUCCAUGGAUUCAGAACGAAACCGGCGACAUAUGUCCACACAGAACUUCUCCCACGUCACACCAACCGACCCUCGUUGUUCUGAAACGUAACAUGCAUACUAGCAUUCAGCUCUUCCCUUAAUGUUGAGCGAAACAUACCCCAUUUUCUGAUGAUCUGGAAUCUGACAGAGUUCGAAGAAGCUGUUGCAUCGCCUUAUCCAGAAGUUGAGGUUUCGAAGGUCAAAUUCUGGAAAUUUUAGGGAAGCAUGCAUGAUGGAGGUGACUUGGUGGUUGUGGUCUUUUUCAAGCUUUUCGAGCCGUUUCAUGUUGUCGGCAACAAAAGACUGAAGCUGCAACUCCAUUCGCUUAAGGCUCUCUUCCAUGCUCAUGGGUUUUUUGUACAGAUUCGCCAUGGCAGAUUUUUGGAAAAGAUAAAGCUCAAUUGAGGGUUUUGAUUGUGAAUAAUCGUACGGGGUAUUUGUAGUGUAUG